GUACUCNAGUGGCGAACGGGUGAGUAACACGUGGGCAAUCUGCCCUGCACACCGGGAUAAGCCUGGGAAACUGGGUCUAAUACCGGAUAGGACCACUUGGCGCAUGCCUUGUGGUGGAAAACUUUUGCGGUGUGGGAUGGGCCCGCGGCCUAUCAGCUUGUUGGUGGGGUGACGGCCUACCAAGGCGACGACGGGUAGCCGGCCUGAGAGGGUGUCCGGCCACACUGGGACUGAGAUACGGCCCAGACUCCUACGGGAGGCAGCAGUGGGGAAUAUUGCACAAUGGGCGCAAGCCUGAUGCAGCGACGCCGCGUGGGGGAUGACGGCCUUUCGGGUUGUAAACCUCUUUCACCAUCGACGAAGGUCCGGGUUUUCUCGGAUUGACGGUAGGUGGAGAAGAAGCACCGGCCAACUACGUGCCAGCAGCCGCGGUAAUACGUAGGGUGCGAGCGUUGUCCGGAAUUACUGGGCGUAAAGAGCUCGUAGGUGGUUUGUCGCGUUGUUCGUGAAAUCUCACGGCUUAACUGUGAGCGUGCGGGCGAUACGGGCAGACUAGAGUACUGCAGGGGAGACUGGAAUUCCUGGUGUAGCGGUGGAAUGCGCAGAUAUCAGGAGGAACACCGGUGGCGAAGGCGGGUCUCUGGGCAGUAACUGACGCUGAGGAGCGAAAGCGUGGGGAGCGAACAGGAUUAGAUACCCUGGUAGUCCACGCCGUAAACGGUGGGUACUAGGUGUGGGUUUCCUUCCUUGGGAUCCGUGCCGUAGCUAACGCAUUAAGUACCCCGCCUGGGGAGUACGGCCGCAAGGCUAAAACUCAAAGGAAUUGACGGGGGCCCGCACAAGCGGCGGAGCAUGUGGAUUAAUUCGAUGCAACGCGAAGAACCUUACCUGGGUUUGACAUGCACAGGACGCGUCUAGAGAUAGGCGUUCCCUUGUGGCCUGUGUGCAGGUGGUGCAUGGCUGUCGUCAGCUCGUGUCGUGAGAUGUUGGGUUAAGUCCCGCAACGAGCGCAACCCUUGUCUCAUGUUGCCAGCGGGUAAUGCCGGGGACUCGUGAGAGACUGCCGGGGUCAACUCGGAGGAAGGUGGGGAUGACGUCAAGUCAUCAUGCCCCUUAUGUCCAGGGCUUCACACAUGCUACAAUGGCCGGUACAAAGGGCUGCGAUGCCGCGAGGUUAAGCGAAUCCUUUUAAAGCCGGUCUCAGUUCGGAUCGGGGUCUGCAACUCGACCCCGUGAAGUCGGAGUCGCUAGUAAUCGCAGAUCAGCAACGCUGCGGUGAAUACGUUCCCGGGCCUUGUACACACCGCCCGUCACGUCAUGAAAGUCGGUAACACC
rnacentral:rRNA from 1 species